GCUAGUGUACUGUAGUGAUUGGAUUGCACUGGACUACAACUCCAGAGACUAGGGUUCAAAUCCCUGCUCGACCA